AUUGAACGCUGGCGGCAGGCCUAACACAUGCAAGUCGAGCGGGGUUUUCGGACCUAGCGGCGGACGGGUGAGUAAUGCGUAGGAAGCUACCCGAUAGAGGGGGAUACCAGUUGGAAACGACUGUUAACACCGCAUAAUGUCUACGGACCAAAGUGUGGGACCUUCGGGCCACAUGCUAUCGGAUGCGCCUACGUGGGAUUAGCUAGUUGGUGGGGUAAUGGCUCACCAAGGCGACGAUCCCUAGCUGGUUUGAGAGGAUGAUCAGCCACACUGGAACUGAGACAUGGUCCAGACUCCUACGGGAGGCAGCAGUGGGGAAUAUUGGACAAUGGGCGCAAGCCUGAUUCAGCCAUGCCGCGUGUGUGAAGAAGGCCUUCGGGUUGUAAAGCACUUUCAGUAGGGAGGAAGGGUGUUGUGUUAAUAGCACAGCAUUUUGACGUUACCUACAGAAGAAGCACCGGCUAACUCUGUGCCAGCCGCCGCCGUAAGAC
rnacentral:rRNA from 1 species